AAUUUUGGACAAUGGGGGAAACCCUGAUCCAGCCAUCCUGCGUGUGCGAUGAAGGUCUUCGGGUUGUAAAGCACUUUUGUCUGGGACGAAAUCGUACAGUCUAAUAUCCUGUUCUGAUGACGGUACCUGAUGAUUAAGCACCGGCUAACUACUUCCCAGCUGCCGCGGUAAUUCGUAGGGUGCAAGCGUUAAUCGGAAUUACUGGGCGUAAAGGGUGCGCAGGCGGUUUAUCAAGAAAGGUGUGAAAUCCCCGGGCUUAACCUGGGAAUGGCACUUUUAACUGAUAGGCUAGAGUAGGUCAGAGGGGGGUAGGAUUCCACGUGUAGCAGUGAAAUGCGUAGAGAUGUGGAGGAAUACCGAUGGCGAAGGCAGCCCCCUGGGAUAAUACUGACGCUCAUGCACGAAAGCGUGGGGAGCAAACA
rnacentral:rRNA from 1 species